rnacentral:sRNA from 1 species
GAAGCCGAGUGGUGCGUGGGCUACCCCAACCUGUGUGGCUGGGCCGCGGUCUCCCCUCAAGGGCCUGGGGCCGUGCCUCGGGUGUACGCGUAGGGGUCUGUGUGCUGGGGGUGGCUCACCGGACAGCGUGGGUGAGCGGCGCAGCGGCGGCAGCGGAGAGCGAGAGAGGGGAGCAGGGACAGAAUCGCCUAAGCUGAAGUGUAGUGGCACCAUCAUAGCUCACUGCAGCCUCCAGCUCCUUGGCUCAAGUGAUUCUCCUGCCUCAGCCUCCCUAGUAGCUAGGACUACAGUCUGGUUUAUAUUUUUUAAGUGCUAUAUGUGGAUGACCUGCUUAGUUUUAAUUUUUGGAGAAAUACAUUUUAUUAAACAUUUUCAUCAGAUUGCUAAAAUUGUGAGUAAUGGUAAUGAUACCAUGAUUAUAUUCUGGUUAAUUUAAUACCUUUCCUUUUUACAAUAUGUUUCUGUCUAAAUAUAUAUUUUUUAGUGUCAUUACCUACUGAGUUUCUGUGAAAAUAAUUUCCUUUGCCUAUUAAAACAAAACAAUUGUUGAAAUUAAUGUUUUUACUGUUUU